AACUUUGAAAAAUGACUUGAAACGAUCGUUUUUUUAUACACCUUCCAAACAAUUUGUUUGGAAAUUAUAUAAACUCUACUUUUCUUCUAUUUCUUUAUAAUAAAGUAACUAAGCUCUUACAUAUAUAUAUUAGACUUUGCUGAUUCUUUCAUUGUUAUUGGUUUGCGGUCCUGCGAUGGUCCCAAGCUCGAGCUCCAAAAUUGAAUGUGAUGGUUUAUAACAAAGAUCUUUCUCAAAUUUUCUUAUUAGAUCUGUCCUUGUGAACGCGAGAAGGAAUUUCUCAUCUACACCCAUGAGAUAAGAGGCUAUUCUAGCAGACAAUGAGAAUCUUUUACUCACAUAUCAAUUGUACCAUAAUUGUGUAUGGGAUCUUUUGAGUCUAUCAGCCCCAACAAGGACUGCGGAAUCAAUGUUGGGCUUCAAGAAGCGAAAGAGAUGUUGAAACUCUUCACGAGACAUACCUUUGCAUCACUAUAUCUGUGAAUGUGUCUUGUGGCAUCUUUAGCAAGUAUGUUAGUUUUGAAUAUUCCCUUUUUACCUGAUCUAUGUUGGCAGAUUAGCUUUGGUUUGAUAAUGUUAGCCAAAUAUACAUUUUUAAGCAAGAUAUACCCAUUGACCAAUGCAAUAUUUAUGUUACUCUAUACAAUCUACUAUUUGAUCUUUUUCA